UCACUUGUAGCCAUAUUAGGACGAAUUGUCUAAUUCUCAAAAAAAAGUUUGGACUUUUAUCGAUAAAAGCUUCAUACAACUUCUUCAUGUGUGACCAUGUUUGAUAUCGAUAAGCGAUUAAUCAAAAACUUACCUCAGCAGAAGAAUCGAAAUAACUCGUGAACACUUUCGAGCAAUUUUUUUACAACUUUCGACUUGGGUUAUUACGACAAGAGUGCAUCGAUGAACUUAAAUCUUUGUAAGGCGAUGAAGUGCCAUCAUAUAGCCCUGUGAAAAACUGGUUUAAUGGAUUCUAUCGUGACCGAUGCUCGCUGGAAGACGAAGGUCGUCGCACAAAUAGUCGUUGUGCCAGAAAACCAUGAUGCAAGAUCGUCAUGUGAUAUAUCGUGAGAUAGAGGCAUCCUUUCACAUUUCUUCCACCAGAAUAAUUCGAUAUUGCAUGAACAUCUGGUCGUAAAAAAGGUUUGUUCUCGUUGGAUCCCGCACAAUUUGACAAUUGCUCAAAAAAAGGCUUGUGUGGAUUGGUUCAAAUAAAUUUUGAAAAAAUACAUACACUAAUCAGAAAAAGUCUGCGUACAAACUUAACGCGCAACUUUGAUGUUAAAUAAAAAUAGUUAUAUUGAAGAUAUUGACUUAAUUUUUUUUUUAAAUUAACGACAUAUCUAAUGUGAAAAAAUAUAACCAGUCUUCAAUUAUUUCCAUCAGCAACUUUUUUAAUUAAAAACAAAAAAUACACCUGUUUUCGAAUCAGAAAAAGUCUGCGUACAAACUUAAAUUAGUUUAAAAAAAGCCAUUUAUUGAUAAAACAUUACAAAAAUUAGUACGAGGUAGGAUAAAUAGGAAGGUUUAUUGUGCCAAUCAAGCGUUUUGGCAUUGAUUAAACCAAUUUUUGGUGAAUUCUGGUGGUAUUUCGAUCCACUCAUCCAAAAUUGCUCCCGAGGGAGGAAACCGUUCGUCAAACUGGAACAAAUAGGGAAAUCUCAGCGGGAAAUUGUCGAAUUUGUUUUUAAAACGCAUUCAAUGAUUAAAAAAGUCCAAAAAAAUUGGAAUCAAACCGGCACAGUUCAAUCAAAGCCACAUUCUGGUAGGCCUCCAAAGCUGACCGAUCGAGAAGAGCGGGAGGUUUUGAAGUUGGUGAGGCGUAAUCCUGGGUCAACUGCCGCAAAAAUUGGUCAGGACAUAAAGGAGAACUAUAAGAAGGAUUUACAUGAUAAAACAAUCCGAAAAAUUUCCAAAAAGUAGGACUUUCAUGCCUGUGUUGCUCACGCUGCCACCACCGUACUUAACUGUUGGCGCAAGGUUAUGCACAUCAAGGGCUGUGCCAGGUUUGCGCCACUCAAAUUUUUGCCCUUUUAUGUCAAAUUGCUCCAAUAAUUGAAAAUAACUUUGUUCCAAAAGGCUAAAGGCUCUUGGAUGAAUUUUUUGCAAAAUCAAAGCGCUUUGCUUUACUGCAACACAGGCAAACCUUAUGUACCCCAUAGUGCAAUCUUUAAGCUUCACGGCGCGAGCUAGGAAUUCAUUUUAGACACAUGGUUUCAUGGUGAAAUUUUCUUAGAAUUCUUCGUAGAUUCCGAUUAUGGGGGACGAUUUUCAUGAUUUUUUGGACAGGAACAAAUUGACCCGCCCUAGUAUACAUAGUCUUCCAAAAAUGAAAAUUGAUAGAAUAAAUAUUAACAUAUUAAUGUCCAAUCUGAACCUCUCCAUUGUGAGAAACCUGCUACCGUUUUAAAAAACUGCAAGCGCCAUGCUCAUUUGAGCUUGUAUCAAAUGAUGCUCUCCCCAUUUAACAGAAUGUUACCUAAUAUACUUUCCGUUUACUUUAAACUAAACAUUGUUUCUACAAAAAUCUAUGUAACAGGCAAAAAGAAGUAUUGUAUUUGCGAUCCCAUAUACUACAUAUAUAUAUUCCUAAUCAGUGACAACUUCUAUAAAGAUAUACAUACAUAGCUACCCCGCAGAACUUGAGGUGUCGAUUUGCCAUGGGUAAAUGCUUACCUCGCCGAUCACUACAUGUGUACUUACUAAAGUGACCCUAUAGUAAACGAACGUCGAACCACCUAGUUAUUAAAUAUAUGCGUAUUAAAGCAUAAGUACAAAAUAACGGCAAGUAUCGCUUUCGUUUUUGUUAUUUUGUGGAAAGGGCAUACACAAGAUUAAAGACAAAAUUUCGAUUACGUUUUCAUCGCUGUUUACGCGUCUUUGUUUUAUUUUGUGCUAUUCUUUUGCUUAAACGCAGCUGUGUUUGCUGGCUGAUGAAAUUUUUGCAAGCAUUUGAGUUCAGAAGUGCAAAGCGGAUCCGCGGUCAAUUAUUAGGUGAGUUACUUAAAAAAAUAAUAUAUGUAUGUACAUGUAAAAGAACGUCAAGCAGUUAGCAUAGUUAGCACAGUGGAAAGCGAAAAUGUGCCUAAAGAAGAGGAAGUGGAAAUUAUGACAGAAAAUCUACGUUAUGGAAAUAAUGACAGGGGAAUGCGGUCCUAAAAAAAGUGUAAAUUUCUUUGGUGUUAUGAUUGAUUCAAUAACUGAGGACCAGUUGAGUAAGGCCUUGUAGCUCCAAAAAAACAAACGAUAUUUUCAACUCAAGUUGCCUUAAAGUAAUAAAAGUUUCCGACUUAUUAAUAUAAGAAAAAUUAAAAUUAAAUAAAAACUGUAAUUGUAAUUGUAAAUGUUUUUUAAAUUUAUAAUGACCGACCCCUCCAUGGGGUCCGAUGUAAGUACUUACUUCACCGACCCUUCCAUGGGGUCCGAUGUAAGCACUUAUUUUACCGGCCGUUCCAUGGGGUCCCAUGUAAGUACUGACUUUACCGGUCGUUCCAUGGGAUCUAAUGUAAGUACAUUCUUUAAAGACCCUAAUAUGUUGCACUAUUUCACUAGUUCGUGGGUAAUCGAGGUGGUGGCGAUUGUCCCUAUUUGCGGACAUUUCAUACAAAAAAUGGAAUUUAAAGAACGCAUUGCUAGGUGCCACUUUGUAAGUAGUGGUGGUCUGCUGGUAAGUGCUUAUUUCACCAGUAACGAACUAGCGCCCAGAACUGCAGGGUUAGAUUUUCGCAUAAGCGUAAUUUAAAUAAUUAUAUUUGUUGUGGAACACGCAAUAAUAAUACUUGCGAGUCCCUUCGAUUUCUGAAAAUUUGGUUGUGAUCAAAAGCUACAAAGAUGUGUUCUGAACUGUUGAUACCCGUUACCAAUUUUAUAUAAGUCAAAUAUCGCGUUAUUAUUCUUAAAAUAUUAAUUAAAUACAUCGAAAAUCAACUUUAAUAAUAACGAAGGCUAUAUUCGAUAUUUCAAUAUACUAUUAUUCAAAACAUUCCAUAAAGUAGUGCUAAAAUUUGUAUCUAAACGCAACCGAAUUCAGGAAUCAUAAAUGAACCUUAUUCUAUGUACCCAAAAUCGCAGCUCUAGCUUUAAAGUUGCGCUUGCUAUUCGAUGUUUAUGAUUUGCUGAAGUGUGUGUAUAAAAACCAAAAAAAUUAAAACUACCGUCAAGAGUGCUCGUGCUCGACUGUAUAAAUUCAAAACAGCGCGGCAUUAUUAAAAUAUACCAAAUAUUAUACCUUUAAAAUAUUAAAACAAUGUUGAAUGAUAAAUUAACACAAGGGCUGAAAAGACCCGGGCCUAGCAAAGAAAACACUUUUUUUUAGUUCAAAAUUAUCUUUACUCAUCAACAGCCAAAUCUGGGAAAUACGGUGCCACCGUAACGGUGGAUGUGGGAGCCAUUCGAAGUUUAAUUCAUGUAGUUUUGUCUUUGUCAUUGAAUCAUCAACACGUUCUUGUUGUUAGUCAACAAUGAGCAAACGCGGCACCCUCUUUGAAGAAAGCUUUCUCAUAGCUCGUGCAAUAUGAAGCCAACUUGUUUCUUUUGAUAUCUUUACGAUGUCAGCUAACUCACGUAAAUAAAAUUUUC